GUUAAAACAAAGGAAAACGAUAUUCAUACAUAGUUAGCAGUGCACUAAGAAUCUCAGUAUGCAUUACGAUCACUGCCCAAUAAUGGCAGACAUGAAUGUUAACAUGCAUUUCAGAAUAGGAAUUUCAAAAUCAAUGUCUAAAAUGCUUAUAGAUUUCUGCCAACAAUUUUUAAAUGUUCAAAGACAAUGUGCUCAGCUUGCAUUGAUCCAUGCAUUCACAUCAUGCUCAUUUUAAAGGGUUAAUAAUAUCUCUAUUUCUCUAAUGCAGGAUUAUUUGGGAAUGUAAAUGUUUGGAAUGGGUGGUAUAGGAAAAGAUCCCUUGCUUCAAGACCAAUUCGAAAAUUGAUUACAAAACAACCCUUCAUCUCUACGUUUCAAUCUUUUAGUUCAAAAAGAUUGUUCCGUAGGAAUAUAUUUCAGUUAUCGUACGAUAUGGAGUUGGAGUUUAUGCAAUUGAGAUGUAAUAAGGCAUUGAAAGAAGCACCGUGCGUAGCUUUUGAUACAGAGAUCAGAAACUUGUUAAACCAAGUGAUGAAACUUAAGAAUGUGUUAAAUGCUAGAGAAAGCAUAAUUUUUGAGCCGCUUCAACAUAUGAAGGGGACUGCCGCAAAGAUUCUGUUGACUGAAAUAAGCAAGAGUACCAAAAAAAUUAUGGAAGAGUAAGAACAAGUCUGUGGCUGUCAGUUUACCAUUCAGGAUGUCAUAGAUGACAUUGUUCGAUCUUGCUAUCAGGUAUGUGGUAAUAUCAUUGCAAAUUAUUAGUAAAAUUAUAGAUGUUGAUGUAAAUAUGUUUCUUCUAUUGAUGUUGCAACCAAGAUAAAAGCCUAUAUGUAGCCCAUUAUCUGACGAUUUUGGGUAGUGUAUGACUUUUUCUUUCGCUUUUCACAGGUUUUUUCGGAAUGAACGUGGAUGGGAUACCCGGAGCAAAGAAUAGUCCAUUUGGAUUUGGUAUAUAUGCUGGAGUCUUUUCCUCACUAGGAUUAGUGUUGAUUGUGCUGGUGUUGAAAUGGCUUGGGUUGAAAAAACCGAUGAGAGAAGAUGAAGCUUCAUCGAAGUUGAGGAAGACGGGGAUGCGGCCAGUGACUGAAGAUAAUAUUUGCUCUCAAUAUGAUUUUAUAUAAGCAUAUAAGCACAUUGUUUCUUGUUGUAAAUUUCAUAUCACAUUGUUUCUUGUUGUAAAUUUCAUAUCACAUUGUUUCUUGUUGUAAAUAUAAGCGGCAUUACAUUUGUUGACUUGAAGAAAAGAUUUCUUAUGGAGUA